CAGCAGCCGCGGUAAUACGUAGGGUGCGAGCGUUAAUCGGAAUUACUGGGCGUAGAGCGUGCGCAGGCGGUUGUGUAAGACAGGUGUGAAAUCCCCGGGCUUAACCUGGGAACUGCGCUUGUGACUGCACAGCUAGAGUAUGGCAGAGGGGGGUGGAAUUCCACGUGUAGCAGUGAAAUGCGUAGAGAUGUGGAGGAACACCGAUGGCGAAGGCAGCCCCCUGGGCCAAUACUGACGCUCAUGUACGAAAGCGUGGGGAGCAAACAGGAUUAGAUACCCCCGUAGUCCCUGUCUCUUAUAC
rnacentral:rRNA from 1 species